rnacentral:rRNA from 1 species
UAGGGAAUAUUGGACAAUGGGCGAAAGCCUGAUCCAGCAAUGCCGCGUGAGUGAUGAAGGCCUUAGGGUUGUAAAGCUCUUUUACCCGGGAUGAUAAUGACAGUACCGGGAGAAUAAGCCCGGCUAACUCCGUGCC